rnacentral:rRNA from 1 species
UACGAAGGGUGCAAGCGUUAAUCGGAAUUACUGGGCGUAAAGGGUGCGUAGGCGGUUCGUUAAGUCUGUCGUGAAAUCCCCGGGCUCAACCUGGGAAUGGCGAUGGAUACUGGCGAGCUAGAGUGUGUCAGAGGAUGGUGGAAUUCCCGGUGUAGCGAUGAAAUGCGUAGAGAUCGGGAGGAACAUCAGUGGCGAAGGCGGCCAUCUGGGACAACACUGACGCUGAAGCACGAAAGCGUGGGGAGCAAACAGG